CACCAGCUCUCCGAGUGGUGUGGAUGUUUAUUGGGCCUAGAGCAUCCGUAGCUGGCUGGAAAAGUCCCCUGUUAAAUCCACCGAUUCAAUCGUUGGCGUGCGGGGGAUACUUUUCGGCUAGGGGACGAGAGAGGCCGACGGUAUUUCCGGGGUAGGGGUGAAAUCCUAUAAUCCCGGGAAGACCACCAGUGGCGAAGGCUGUCGGCUAGAACGCGCCCGACGGUGAGGGAUGAAAGCUGGGGGAG
rnacentral:rRNA from 1 species